rnacentral:lncRNA from 12 species
CUCAUUAUGAAGACACCAUAACUCUGCCAUUUCCAAACACUCAUUAAUGACCCUUCCUAGGACUUUCCACUGGGAACCCCCUGGGAAGAGCAGGCAACACGAUCCCUCGGCCUGCCAGGUGGUGAGUGGUGUGUGCACAGCUCUCCGCCCUGCUUCAGGAAGAGCUGACUGCAGGUGUAGACAUAGGCCAAGCCUGGGGCCUUGGAGGGCCUCAUCCACCCACAGAGCCCACGCCCUUCCUUUCUCCAUCCUACUGUGGUACAAACACCACCAUCCAGGAGUGUCCCCAUCUGCUCGGUGGCAGGGACGGACACACUGAGUGCACAGAUGAAGCCCAUCUGGCCAGCCUCUCUGGGCGAGACAGAAGAGAGCUCAGAGGAGCCCGGAAAAUGGCUGAGUCUCUGGACUGAGGCCUGUGGAUAAAGAGAGGAGAGUGCUCCCUGCCAUGGUGGAAGGAGCAUGCAGCGCAGAGGAAGAGGCAGAGAGGGCAUUUCCACGGGUGACGGGAAAGCCAUAAAACAUGACCUGUCACUGCCUGCUCCCUGAAAAUGUUAAACUGUUUUGCCUCCCUUCCCCCUUGGUUCAAGGCCUG